GUCUAUGGCCAGGCCACCCUGAACGUGCCCGAUCUUGUCUGAUCUCAGAAGCUAAGCAGGGCCGGGCCUGGUUAGUACUUGAAUGGGAGACCACCUAGGAAUACCAGGUACUGUAGGCA
rnacentral:rRNA from 1 species